rnacentral:rRNA from 1 species
AUUGAACGCUGGCGGCAGGCCUAACACAUGCAAGUCGGACGGUAGCACAGAGAGCUUGCUCUUGGGUGACGAGUGGCGGACGGGUGAGUAAUGUCUGGGGAUCUGCCCGAUAGAGGGGGAUAACCACUGGAAACGGUGGCUAAUACCGCAUAACGUCGCAAGACCAAAGAGGGGGACCUUCGGGCCUCUCACUAUCGGAUGAACCCAGAUGGGAUUAGCUAGUAGGCGGGGUAAUGGCCCACCUAGGCGACGAUCCCUAGCUGGGCUGAGAGGAUGACCAGCCACACUGGAACUGAGACCCGGUACAGACUCCUACGGGAGGCAGCGGUGGGGAAUAUUGCAAAAUGGGCGCAAGCCUGAUGCAGCCAUGCCGCGUGUAUGAAGAAGGCCUUCGGGUUGUAAAGUACUUUCAGCGGGGAGGAAGGCGGUGCGGUUAAUAACCGUACCGAUUGACGUUACCCGCAGAAGAAGCACCGGCUAACUCCGUGCCAGCCGCCGCAGUAA